CAGACGGACAUACUGAUUUCAUUGGUGGGGCUGUGCACAACCUGCUGACCGUUGCCUGACGGAUGGGUGCUCUUGCAGGGCGACUUCCAGACUCCUAGUCAAGCUAUAUCGUCAGCAACCUUCUACUAUCAGGGACCCGAGCAGGUGUAGAGUUCCUAGUGGACCAGGCUUCCAUGGUUGAGGUUAACGUCAACGCCGAUAACUGGCGACAGACGACUGAUGCAGUCAUCAACAGAAGUUAGAAAAGUGACAUAAACUUCCAUGUCACCACAGCCAGCGGAAUAGCUCCACACGACGUGACGAUUGAGGUCAAGCAGACCAAGAAGUCCUUCCCCUUUGGCAGCGCCAUCAACUCGUGGAGGUACGUGGACUCGACGCAGCAGAAGUACCGGGACUGGAUCCACACUCACCUCAACUGGGCCGUGCUGGAGAACGCCCUCAAGUGGGGGCAGCUCGAGCCGUCUCA